UCCUUAUUUUAAAAAUUUUUAUUACUUAAGUAGUGUGAACAAUAAGUUUAUGAAAAAUGAUUUAAGUAGUUAAUUAGAAUGUUUGAAACUUAAAAGGCUUGGCGGUGUUAUAUAUCCUUCCAGAGGAGUUUGCUUAUUAAUUUGAUAAUCCUCAAUUUAUACUUACUUUUUUUUGAAUAUUUAGUAUAAAUUAUCAGUUUGUGUAUUGCUGUCAUCAGUUUAUUUUGUAAAAAUUUUAUAAGAAACUUAAUAAUAUGGGAAUUAUGAUGUCAAGUCAAAAUGCAGCUAAUAAAAAAGGUUUAAAGUGAACUACAAUUUAUAAUAUUUAAGUCGGAUUAAGUUUAUGUAAUUAAUUUAUGAAGUUGGAUUUGGUAGUAAUAUUUUAAUAGGUGAGUUUUUAUGAAUUAGGUUUUAUAAUGCGU
rnacentral:rRNA from 1 species